CUCUAAUGUGCGCUCCGGACUUUGGGAGAACAAUCUACUGAUUCCUUGGGACCUUCUAGGGUUUUGUACCAAACUUCAAAGGCACAUGCAGUUCCCAUGAGGUGUAGAAGUUCCUUGCUCUUGGUUCAGUCCUCAAAAAAAGACGUCUAGCAUUUAGAUCCGUAGGUGAGCAGAAAUGCUUUGUAAUGAACUUACUCUUCAUUCUAAGGCAAGUAGCAAUUUAUGAUCAUAAACAGUAAAUAUGGUGGAUUCGUUUUUCAAACCUAUCUUACUGUUUUAUGCCCUUGGUCCU
rnacentral:lncRNA from 1 species